AUUGAACGCUGGCGGCAGGCCUAACACAUGCAAGUCGAACGAGUGGCGGACGGGUGAGUAAUGUCUGGGAACCUGCCCGAUGGAGGGGGCUAACUACUGGAAACGGUAGCUAAUACCGCAUACCAUCGGAUGUGCCCAGAGGGGAUGAGCUAGUAGGUGGGGUAACGGCUCACCUAGGCGACGAUCCCUAGCUGGUCUGAGAGGAUGACCAGCCACACUGGAACUGAGACACGGCCCAGACUCCUACGGGAGGCAGCAGUGGGGAAUAUUGCACAAUGGGCGCAAGCCUGACGGAGCAAUGCCGCGUGUAUGAAGAAGGCCUUCGGGUCGUAAAGUACUUUUAGAGGGGAGGCGGUACUCGAAGAAGAAGCAACGGCUAACUCCGUGCCAGCAGCCGCGGUAAUUC
rnacentral:rRNA from 1 species